UUUUCCUUGUCUCUGCCUCCCUAGGAUUCUAAACUGUCACCCCAGCCCAUUAUCAUUCUUUAACACCUUAUUCAAAGUCUAACUGUUUUCUCCUUAGUCACAGCUUGUUGUCUUCUUCGUCCUCCUGCUGCUGUUUCAUGAGAUAUAAACGCAGCCGUGGAUCCCUCCUCUUCAAGUCAAUGGGCUUCCAUGCCUUCUCUCUUCUCUCUGGCUUCAGCUAAUAGGAAGCCCUAGCAAAAGAUCUGAAGGAGAGAAGUGAGUGAAGUCAGCGUAUUCAUUCUUCUGGGUCCUUCCACUUCAAGGCUGCCUCCGACUGAUUGCGUCCCUAACCAAAGAAAAAGAAGAGAAGGAAGAAAUCAGAGAAGAAAAGGAGAGCAAGGACAAGAGGAAAGAGAGCGAACAGAAGAAAUUAAAGAAGAAAGGGAGGGAGGGAGGGAGAAAUGGAAGGAGAGACACAGGGAGGCACGGAAGGAGCGACUGAGAAAGGAAGGCAGGGAGCAAGAGAGGUGGGGCAAGGAUCUUACUGGAGCUCCAUUCCAAACAGGAGGAGGAGAGCUGCUUCAGGUGGAGCUGGGGGGGAUCUGGGUCCCCAGAUGCUUUGCCUUUUGUUCUCUUGCAGCACCUGAGGCAACUUUAAGAAUUUUAACACUCUUGAGAAGACAGGAAAUAACCCUUGUUCAGAGCUACAGCAGCCUUCCAGCUUUGCAAGUGUUAUUACUCACUCACUGGGUGUGCAAACAGGGAGAGCACUGGGCAAUACCCCGUGAUACUGAGACCUGUUUGCAGGAGUGUUCUACUCUCUGAGCCACACUUGGAAUCACUUACCUGCUGCAUUUGUUAGGUUUCCUAUUUUAAAAUUAAUAAAAACACAAGGAUAUACACUCACCUCAUGAUACUAGGGCUGGGCUGGAGAAGAAAUAGAAUUAGACGUGAUAAAAAUUAUAAAUUCUGUAAUAUAGCAUCUACGGGAAAAUCCCAUACUGGAAAAAAUGGUUGUCUUUUGUGGUGAGGAAUACGUAAGUGAGUAUUUUUAAUCAUGCUCAGUUGAGGGGAUAAACCCCAAUCAACCGAAUUCCUAAACACUGGAUAAUUGUAGAAAAGUAAAGAGAAACAGAAAUAAAUCUCAAAUAACUGAAUUAACUGCUGACUUAGCUGAAUCAUCACCUGAAUAAUCCUAGGAUGCUGCCAUUUUUAGAAAAUGUGUAAGAAAGUUUUCCUGGAGUCCAGUUACCUAAGGGUCUGAGAAGUUCCCUGGAAAGAAGUCAUUCCAGGAACGUGAAUUCAGUUUAUACAACACCCUGCAAGGUGAGUAGCUGGCCAGUCAGGGGUGUGGGGGCGA
rnacentral:lncRNA from 1 species